UACGUAGGGUGCAAGCGUUGCCCGGAUUUAUUGGGCGUAAGGGCGCGUAGGCGGCUCUGCACGUCCGUUGUGAAAUCGCCCGGCUCAACUGGGCGGGGUCAGCGGAUACGGCAGAGCUUGAGCAAGCUAGGGGGCAAUGGAAUUCCCGGUGUAGUGGUGGAAUGCGUAGAUAUCGGGAGGAACACCAGUGGCGAAGGCGGUUGCCGUGGGGCUUUGCUGACGCUGAUGCGCGAAGCGUGGGGAGCGAGUCCGG
rnacentral:rRNA from 1 species